rnacentral:rRNA from 1 species
AACGCGAAGAACCUUACCCAGGCUUGACAUACAGAGGACGAUACUGGAAACAGUAUUUCCCUUCGGGGCCUCUGAACAGGUGCUGCAUGGCUGUCGUCAGCUCGUGCCGUGAGGUGUUUGGUUAAGUCCAGCAACGAGCGCAACCCUUAUCAUUAGUUGCCAACAUUUCGGAUGGGAACUCUAAUGAGACUGCCCGGGUUAACCGGGAGGAAGGUGAGGAUGACGUCAAGUCCGCAUGGCCCUUAUGUCUGGGGCUACACACGUGCUACAAUGGUCGGUACAGAAGGCAGCGAAGUCGCGAGAUGGAGCAAAUCCCAAAAGCCGGCCUCAGUUCAGAUUGUAGUCUGCAACUCGACUACAUGAAGACGGAAUUGCUAGUAAUGGCGGGUCAGCACACCGCCGUGAAUACGUUCCCGGGCCUUGUA